AUUGAACGCUAGCGGCAGGCCUAACACAUGCAAGUCGAGCGAGCGGCGGACGGGUGCGUAAUGUAUGGGGACUGCCCGAUAGAGGGGGAUAACUACUGGAAACGGUAGCUAAUACCGCAUACUAUCGGAUAACCCAUAUGGGAUUAGCUAGUAGGUGAGGUAAUGGCUCACCUAGGCGACGAUCCCUAGCUGGACUGAGAGGAUGAUCAGCCACACUGUGAGUGAGACACGGCCCAGACUCCGACGGAGGCAGCAGUGGGGAAUAGUGCACAAUGGGAGCAAGCCUGAUGCAGCCAUGCCGGGUGUAGGAAGAAGGCCCUAGGGUUGUAAAGUACGUUCAGUCGGGAUGCGUUACCGACAGAAGAAGCACCGGCUAACUCCGUGCCAGCAGCCGCGGUAAUUC
rnacentral:rRNA from 1 species